GCCUGGGUGGCUCAGUGGGUUAAGCGUCUGACUUCGGGUCAGGUCAUGAUUUCAUGGUUCGUGGGUUUGAGCCCCACAUCAGGCU
rnacentral:tRNA from 1 species